UGCACUCCAGGCUUACCACGACCCAGUAUCAGGUGCGCCUCUGGCCCUUCAACAUUUGUCACAGAUUCAAUGCCAUCUGCGGCGAAGAAAAAGCAGUUUACGCUCAGUGUGUGAAUGUCUUCCUGGGGGCUGUUCCGUCAUCACAACAGGCAAUUAAACGGCGGCUGAAGGAUGCCUCAGACGACUCCACCGUGACUACGCCCCAGGAACGAUCUGCGGUUCCGCACGGCGUGGCCGUCACAGGUACCGCAGGUGCGCCCCAUGCUGACAGAUGUACCUGAAAUCGCUGCUGUUGAUUCGUCUCGAACGACACGGAGUACACACACCACCACACACGUAUUCUCCACCAUAUAUGGCACCAGAAUCCCAACAAAAACAUUCUCAUUUAUACAGUCCUCCAGGCAAUAAGCCCCUGGCUUGUCAAUAAAGCACUAAUGCACAUAAUUAACUCUGUUCUACUGGUGCGAAACAGAGAUCAAAUUGAAGAGAGGGACUGAAGUCAUUGGGAAUGAAAUUACUGAUUAAAUCAUAUUGUAUUGCCUUGCUUGCAUAUAAUAACAUCCAUCAAGUGAAGAACAUGCCAGAAGCCUUUCCACUCCCCCAAACCCUUUCUUCACCCCCCAUACUUAGACUGCUAAUUUCUCUCGUGUACGAAGAUGGCUUCAGAAACGUGUUCCCUGCAAAAAGAAUCAUAAAGGAAUGCGUGUC